rnacentral:lncRNA from 1 species
CAUCACUAAACUUUGAAUCUACAUAGAACUAACAAGAAUAAUGAAUACCGUAAACAUUAAAACUAAUUAAAAAAUAUAUAUAUGUAGUAGCCAAGUCGAGAGAAUAGUCAUUUGACACUAUCAUUGGCCCAUUAAUUAAAGACCCUUACAUAUUAAUUCAAGACCUGAAAAUAAGCAAAAAGGGUGCUUAUAAGUGGAAUAUCAAGAAAAUGAUCAGAGGUGGCAGCCGCAGCACAGGAAGAAGAAACAGAGAGUUGCAACCAAAAUUAUAGCUUCAAAAAUGGAUACAAUCUUGAAAAGAAUAUCAUCCACGAACCAAAGAUGCAAGCUGAACCGCCUCUUCCACCGCAACCCGGUGGAGCUCUUGAACUUCCACCUGCUUGCACCACUACUAUUGCCAACGUCUCCGCCUUCUCCCUUGCUGGCUUUCUUGUUUAGCCUCUUGAAGAAGAACAAAAAUUUAGAAGGCUUCUUCAUCAUAUCUUUCUGAAACUAGUGUAUAAAAAACGUAUCGAAUUUCAGAAAACUUGAGAUGGGUUUUAAGGAAUUUGGGAUCGACUGGUUUUAUGUUAUUCCAGGUUUCUUGGGUUCUAAGGUUGGACAGGAGGGAAGAGGAAUAUGAUAG